GUUGAUACUCGACUUAUUGCAUCCUUCGCAUCGAAAAAGUCCCUUCGGUGCACCUACGAGAAGGGGGUAAAAGAAAACGGGGCAAAAACAGGGUUGUACAUAGCGCUGGAUACACAGAACACGAGUGCGCCUCGAAGGUCAACCGCCUGGAGCACUGACAGAUUGGAUGCCUUUUUUGUCGCGGGGUCAGCGUCGACCACGCAGCGAAGUCAUAACGCUGCAGAAACGUUCAACAGAUGGUUUCAAAGUAACGAAACAGCGCGACGACUCCGCGCGCUAACGCGCAAAUCACAAAGAUCCGAUAUGAAAAGAUUGAAUGUUGGAGCACCGGUUGCGAAGGGACACUAAAGACUGUUGAAGCAACGCCGAAGGAUCGCGAAACCCACUGAUUAUUCAUGCACCUCGAACGACAGUUGUGAGUCAUAACUCACCGUGGGCGAUCCUUCAACGCAAUCCUCCGAGAAAACAUCUUACACACCUGCACUCAAAUAAUGCAUACUUAUUACAUUCUUUAUUUUCGUAAUAACGAAU